CCUACGGGAGGCAGCAGUGGGGAAUAUUGCACAAUGGGGGAAACCCUGAUGCAGCAACGCCGCGUGAGUGAUGACGGCCUUCGGGGUGUAAAGCUCUAUCUGCAGGGACGAAAAAGGCGGCACCUGAGGAGGAAGGCACGGCCAACUUCGGGCCAGCCGCCCCGGUAAUACGUAGGGGGCGAGGGUUGUCCGGAUUUACCGGGCGUAAAGGGGGCGUAGGCGGCCUUUUAAGGGAGAGGGGAACUCCUCGGGCCCAACGUGGGUGCUGCAUGUUGAACUGGACGGCUAGAGGGCAGGAGAGGCGAGCGGAAUUCGUGGUGUAGCGGUGAAAUGCGUAGAGAUCAGGAAGAACACCGGUGGCGAAGGC
rnacentral:rRNA from 1 species